GUCUAAUCGAUUCAAUCGACGUAAGCUCCAAUGAAAAUAGUCUCUAUUUCAAUAUUUGGACUACACCUACACUAUAAUAAGGAGACCAUUCGCACUGAAAGACAAUAGUCAUUGGCUAAAGUGCAAUAAAAAAUCUGUUGGUUUUCUAUCAUGUUUUA